AUUGAACGCUGGCGGCAUGCCUUACACAUGCAAGUCGAACGGCAGCAUGGGUGCUUGCACCUGAUGGCGAGUGGCGAACGGGUGAGUAAUGCAUCGGAACGUACCCGGAAGUGGGGGAUAACGUAGCGAAAGUUACGCUAAUACCGCAUAUUCUGUGAGCAGGAAAGAGGGGGAUCGCAAGACCUCUCGCUUUCGGAGCGGCCGAUGUCGGAUUAGCUAGUUGGCGGGGUAAAGGCCCACCAAGGCAACGAUCCGUAGCGGGUCUGAGAGGAUGAUCCGCCACACUGGGACUGAGACACGGCCCAGACUCCUACGGGAGGCAGCAGUGGGGAAUUUUGGACAAUGGGCGCAAGCCUGAUCCAGCCAUGCCGCGUGAGUGAAGAAGGCCUUCGGGUUGUAAAGCUCUUUCGGCCGGGAAGAAAUCGCCGGGGAGAACAUCUCCGGUGGAUGACGGUACCGGAAGAAGAAGCACCGGCUAACUACGUGCCAGCCGCCGCGAUAAGAC
rnacentral:rRNA from 1 species